AUUCCACCAUAAUAUGUGAACGGCGUACCGACCGUCCCUAGAGCAAGUGGCAAAGGGCUUAGUGAUUGGUGUCCGAGACCCAAGUUCGAAUCCUAAUUGAUUCACAUUUCUUGCUAAGUUUAUUUCUAAAUGAAAUAAACGAAGUGGGUAACCGUGCUACCUAUCUCUCAAAAAAUAUAUAUAUAUGUGAACGGCGUAA
rnacentral:lncRNA from 1 species